GACGAACGCGGGCGGCGUGCCUAAAACAUGCAAGUCGAACGGGGGAGCAAUCCCCAGUGGCGAACGGCGGAGUAAUACAUGAGGAACGUGCCCUGAAGACUGGGAUAGUCAUUGGAAACGAUGGGUAAUACCAGAUGUGACGGAAGCUUGGCAUCAAGCAUCCAUUAAACGGUUUUUCGCUUCAGGAGUGCCUCAUGGCCUAUCAGGUAGUUGGUGAGGUAAUGGCUCACCAAGCCGACGACGGGUAGCGGGUCUCAGAGGAUGAUCCGCUCGAGUGGGACUGAGACACGGCCCACACACCUAAGGGUGGCAGCAGUUGGGAAUCUUGCACAAUGGGGGAAACCCUGAUGCAGCGACGCCGCGUGGAGGAUGAAGGGUCUAGGCCUGAAAACUCCUUUUAUGGGGAAAGACUUAGGACGGUACCCCAUGAAUAAGGACCGGCUAACUACGUGCCAGCAGCCGCGGUAAGACGUAGGGUCCCAGCGUUGUCCGGAUUUACUGGGCGUAAAGAGCGCGUAGGCGGCUCGUUAAGUGUGAAGUGAAAUCUCUAGGGCUCAACCCAGAAACUGCUUCGCAUACGGCGA
rnacentral:rRNA from 1 species